UUCUAGAACUGUCCACACUUUCAUCUCCUUUCCUAACUCUCUCACUUUCCCUUCAUCUUCUCGGCUUGGAGUUUUACCACAAUUUUUUCUUAAAUCUUCUUCCACUUUUUUCAGUUCAUCCUCCUCUCUUUCAAUCUUCUGUUCAUUACUUUUUUUUAAGGGAUUUCUUCCUAUUUUAUCAGUUUCUUGCUUGAAGUAUCUACAUUUAUGGGUCUUCUACUUUGGGUAUUACAAGGUUCAGGUUUGUACUCAAAAGAUAGAAAUAUAUUUACUUGCCAUGGUCAUGGAAGACUCAAUGCUCCUCCUCCAUCACUCUCAGAAAGGUUAUGAAUUAUCUAUAUUGAAUAGGAGCAAGCUCUCAUGAAGAAUACAAAGUAGUGGAUGUUUUUAGCAAGGUGCAAAUACUUGCAAUACUCUAUAUGACUCGUAAUUAGACUAUGUAAUUUCUAUUGUUCAUAGGUGGUAUAGCACUGAUAGCAACAUAAUACGUCUGGUUAAUCAUGUGGUAUAGAAUGAUAGGUAGGAAAUGAACAAGUAGUCAUAUGCUUGGAUUUGAUUUUGUAAAUGAUUUUAAAAGAAAAGCACAACAAAAUACAAUAUUUUGCUCGGUUCUACACAUGCCGGGCCCCUGGGGAGGUAAAUAUGAAUUUCUACGUCUCUCACUAUUUACUGAGAAUGGAACUGUUCUUUUUGUUGGUGAUAUGGUUAUUCUAAAUUAUUUAUUGCUAUUUAUAAUUGCAAUCAAGUAUAAAUAUGCGUCCAUACACAGUUAAAAUUAUAUCACAACUCAAAUUAUUAGACUCUCGAUCAAAAUUAUAGACUCAAAUUAUUGAACUCUUGUAUAAUUGUUGGGCCCGUGCUAUGCACGGGAAAUACUCAUGCCAAGGGAUGGUCGACCACUGCUCUGAAGAGUUGUACAAAAAGCUAUGUUAGUUGUACUAUGUACUUGGCUUUAUCCAAUUUCUUCACCUUUUGCCACGUGUAUUAGCACUUUCCUUUCUUUUUGGCCACCUAUGCUGACGGAGCUAUCGAGAAUCAUCUAUGUGCUCUCUGUUUCGAAGACUACUAUCCAUCAUCUUUUAAAAUUCCUUUUUUGUCAAAGAAGAAUCCAGUUAUUUCAUCCGCCAUGAAAUUAAAAAAUCUGAAGAGAACUGGAGGAAUAUUUAGGCAAAAAUUGAAAGGAAAGGAGCUUAAAUAUAAACAUUAAAACUGUAACUACGUUUGAUGGUAUUAAAAUGUUCACUCAUGGGCAGAUGGUAAACUUAAUCAUAUAAAUUCAUUGAGGACAUUUAGAACAUAGAGUUAGUUUCUUUUAAUAUUUUUUUACCUGAAGCACCCUAGAAAUGGUUGCACAGAGCUCAAAUGAGUGUUCACCAAUAGUAGCAUCAUAGGUGAUUUAUAGAAGAUAAAAAUAAUGACAAAAUAAAAAGAAAAAUGUAAAAGUUAAGAUUAAUUUUAAAUAUUUUUACUACCAUAAUUAUUUGUAUAUAUUGAUACCUAGCUCUGCUUAUCAUGUUAUUUGAGUUAAUUUAGUUAGAUCAUUGGUUCCAUACUUGUGAUUUUUUUUCUAGAUUAUGCUUUAAAUAAACAUGUCAAAUCUGCUUAAGACUCUUCCCUGGUUUUAUCACUUUUUAUCUGUAAAAGAUGAAGGAAGUAUUAGAAAACUUUUUUUUCCCCUGCUCUCCGCAAAGCUACUUUUUCAUCAAAUUUUCAGGAGUAGUAGCUGAAGUUUAGUUCUCUGAUUUCAUUGGUAGUUGUGGAUGUAAAUAUGAUUUAAUAACAAAUUAAUGAAAUUUUGUUUGGAUAUCCUUAUAUAUUUUUACUUCCUUCAAUCGUUCUUUUUUGUUUGCCUUUAUUCUAAAGAUAGAAGAGUAUAAUGGAAGCCCUGUUUGUUAUUUGUUAGGAUACACUGAUAGUUUUGUGUUUUAGUCCUUUUCCUCUUUCAGGAAGAAAAUGAUGCAAAAUUAUUACAAGGGAUAUGUGUUCUUAAUUCAAUCAAAGUUUCACAAAGAAUAGUUUGAUCUUCUUCUUCUUUUCUGGAUUUGAUCUUGUUGCUAAUUUUUGAAUGAAUGUUUAUUGUGCUUUGGUUUUUUCAAGGCUCAGGAAAAUAAUUUUCAACUUUAUAACUGGUUAAAUGUGAAUUUUUUAGGGUUCAUGAAUAAUACUUUUCAUUCAGCCUUAUAAAUAGCGAAUUGCUAAAAUUGUUAGCCAACACAAUUCUCUUCUCCCAAAGCAUUAUUUGAGUGGGAGGCUGGCAUUUUAACAUGAGCUACUAUUUCAUUUAUGCAUCAUCCUAGCUACCGAAUAACAAGACUAUCUUAUGACAAUGCAUCUUGGGGUGCGGGGUGGGGGAAGUAAUAAAUGACAUAAUUAUUCGAGCAUGUAAUUCCUUCUGAUAUAAUACAAUAUAAAAAGGUUGUAUUUUUUUACCCACCAAUUAAGGAACUCAUGAGAUUAGACAGCCUUAAAACUGAUCCAGUUUGACUAAGUUAAAUGGUAUGGUAUGCUGUUUGUUGCGCAUCAUGGAGCUUUAAUUUCUUUCCCUACUUCCCAAUCAUAGGCAAGGAACCUGAAACUUGGAGUUGCAACAUAAGUUUUUCUUAGAAAGCUAGAACAACAACUCUAGGCCGUUUCUCUUUUGUUCUAGAGUUCCCUGCUACUGGGAUAUGCAUCUUUUUCUUAUUUCUUUUCACAAAUUAAUGAAGGCUUUGGAAGAUUUGAUUAUACUAUGAAACCUUAAUUACAUGUUAGGCAUAUCCCAAAAUUUUUCUGAUCAAACAUGGUGAAUAUUCUAGCAUGGAUGCAUAAUCUUUCUUACCUUCAGGAGUCGUCCGAGUUCCCCAGUGCUUAUGAGGAAGUGUGUGGUCCAGGUAAUAUUUGGGUUGAAGCUUGAAAUAACACAAAUAUAAUAUCAAUAAGUGCGAGAUGAUUUGGUGUUAAAAGGUUAUUUUCCUUCCUUCUGCAAGGAUAAAAGGUUGUUUUCCUUCCUUUUUGCUCCCAUUGUUCGUAUCAAAGUUAAUAAAGCAGUUUCUUUGUGGUAGCUAUUCAAAACAAAUUUAUUCUUUCAUAUUUGCUCCAAACUACAUAAUUGAAUUUACAAAAUGGCAUUUAUUCUGUGUAUUUGCAGGUAAGAACAUAUAAAUACAAAUAGUCUACCUCAAAUUGUUGGGCCCGUGCUCCACGGGCAUCAAACAUCUAGUCUAUUAUAUUGAAGAGCCAUAAUGGUCGAUCAAGGGUAUUUCAGUAAUUUCAUGACUGAUUUAAAUUACUGAUUUAAGUUAAAUUUUUAUUACUUUGGUAACACACAUGUACAUAAUUCAUCUAGAAUUCUCUAGAGCUCAGUUCUCCAACUAGCUUUCUUUCACCAUUAAUUUGUUCAAUCAUCUGUUGAUCUGCCAUUGAUGGCGAGUUCUAGCAGCAAUCUUCUACCAUUACUUCAUUACUAUUGACCUUUCUCUAUAAUUUUUGCUUAUCCUUCGUAUCCUCUUUAGGGAUUUCCUGUUGCCUUUGAUUUGCUUGGUCUUAUCCUCUUCUAAUCUUUGCUUUGGCAUAAUAGUAUCCCCAUGGUUAGCAUCUUCCAGAGUUGAAACCAGAGGUGAAUAGACGAGGUAUAAUUUUCUAUGGUUCCUUGUAAGGUUAAUUUUUUUUCCAGUUUUUCCACUACUUAUGCUUAGACUCAUACGAAGGGAAUUGUCAAGCAUUUUGGACUACUUUUCCUCAUCAAGGAAAUGAUAUAGAAGCUCGAGAUUCGACUCAAUGUGCUAGAAUUGAUGAGGCAUUGUGCUCUUGACAUAGGUGGUUUAACGAAUUAAGAAGCAAUCGGAUUUCGAAUACAACUAUGUGUUUCACAAUUUGGUAUAAAGUUGUGCGCUACUGCUUGCUUAGUAUCUGUGCCGAUCAAAGCCAAUGCUCUUAUAGUCCAUUUUUUCCCUCACCAAGUUCCGUGUUUUCAGAUGUUUCUCUUUUGAUUUUUCUUCUAAACUUCCUGUUGAAUGAGGUUUGAAGUUGAUCCAUGAUCCGAAAUGACAGCUUCUUAUUUUUACUUUC